rnacentral:lncRNA from 1 species
GCCGUAUCCCAGAGCAGAAACACGGCAUUAUUUCCUAUUUGCAGAUGAGAGUGGCAGUUUCACAAAAAAGGAAAUUACUGGUUAGUGCUUGAAGAAAAGUUUCUUUGAAAUAGAGAAUUUCCUUGCCUUUGCUCUGUUUGUGCUCCUCAGAAAGAGGCCUUGCAGCUUGCUGAGGCCCAGUGGAGGGAAAGACCGCCAGCGAUUGGGUUCCCUGUUGACUGUGUGGAGUUCUCACACUGUGAAAGCCAAUGUUACAUUGUCAUUGUCAUAGCAUCACCAUGGAAUGUGGUACUGAGACCAUGUAGAAAUCAUUUCCAUGAAGAUCAUCGCUAUAUCAGAUUGGCCUAAUCCUGCUUUCCCUGAAGCCUCUGCCCUCUACUCUGAUUCCCAGGUUGGCUGGGAUGUACAGUGGCUUCAAUCCCAGAUGGCUCCAAUCCAGCAAUAG